rnacentral:misc_RNA from 1 species
AUGAAUUUUGGGAUAACUUUUUGGGGUUUUUUUUUUAAACUCUAAAAAUAAUUCACCUUUUGUGCACUGUUAUUAAGAUAUACUUUGGUUAGAGCUUUGACAUUAGUCAACUUCUUGCUAACUCUAUCCUUUAAAGGACAGUUGGCUAUGAAGCGUGCCUACCAAGGUUUUUAUCAAACUCUUUGUAUUCUGUCUGACCUAACAUAAAUAAUAAUUAAAUCA